UACGGGGGGGGCAAGCGUUGUUCGGAAUUACUGGGCGUAAAGGGCUCGUAGGUGGCCAACUAAGUCAGACGUGAAAUCCCUCGGCUUAACCGGGGAACUGCGUCUGAUACUGGAUGGCUUGAGUUUGGGAGAGGGAUGCGGAAUUCCAGAUGUAGCGGUGAAAUGCGUAGAUAUCUGGAGGAACACCGGUGGCGAAGGCGGCAUCCUGGACCAACACUGACACUGAGGAGCGAAAGCCAGGGGAGCAAACGGG
rnacentral:rRNA from 1 species